GAUAAAUAUUAAUACUCCUGUGAUGAGUAAUUUUGUGUGUUCCUUUGGAGGGCAUUUUUAGAUGAGAUUCACUUUCUAUCAGCGGACUUGGGGUGAAGCAGGUUACCCUCCAUACUGUGGGUGGACUUCAUCCAAUCACUUAAAGUCCUGAACAGAACAUAAAAGAAUGCCCUUCCCGCACAAGAGGGAAUUCUCCAGCAAACUGCCUUUGGAUUUCAUCCUCACCAUGGACUCUCCUGGGUGUCCAGCCUGCCAGCCCACACUCCCCACAUUGCAGAUUUUAGAAUCGCCAGCUUCCAUAAUCCUGAGAAAAUAUUACUGAAUUUGAAGGAAGAUUGCAUCACUCAGAUUCUGUGCUGAUGUCCAAGGCAAUCAAGACUUCUCAGGGAGCCAGGCCUGGCUUUGUCCUUCCACAUGUGUGACCUUGAGCAAGCUACUUCAUUUCUCUGGCCUCGAUGUUCUCCAACGUUGAUCAGCAUAUACUUGAAGACUGGGACCCAUCUCAGUCCCCUUGGUGUUCCCGACCGUUAGCUCACGAAUGCUCGUGGAAUGGAGGGUCCUCCAGCAGUCAUCUGAACCAUAAGUGUGGAUUCCUCACCCGAGGACCAAGGGGCAGAAGACAGAGCAGCUGGGACACCUGAGGACAUGUCGCUGGCUCCCAGGCUCCCUUCAGCAGACACGCCUGUGGUCAUUCUGUGAACAGAGUAGCGUGUCUGGGAUUCUCCACGCGGCUACGCCUUUUGGAAUCAGUGACCUCCACGGCUUGUGACACUCCCUCUCGAGUCUGCGCCUUUGUGUGACACGGUUGGAAAUCUUUAGCCAACAGCCCUCCCAUCAGUCACUCGUGGGUCCUUCUGCGGGGAAAGACUCCAGGUGUGGGUGCCAGGCGGCCACCCGAGUGC